ensembl:misc_RNA Y_RNA Y RNA
GGUUGGUCUGAGUGCCCUGGUGUUUACAACUAAUUGAUCAUAACCAGGUUCCUUUGUUCCUUCACCAUUCCCACUGCUUCACUGAUACUGACUAGCCUAAA